rnacentral:rRNA from 1 species
GACGAACGCUGGCGGCGUGCCUAAUACAUGCAAGUCGAACGCAAAACUUUCACCGAAUGCUUGCAUUCACGAAAGUUUUGAGUGGCGAACGGGUGAGUAACACGUGGGUAACCUGCCCAGAAGAGGGGGAUAACACUUGGAAACAGGUGCUAAUACCGCAUAAUAACAAAAACCGCAUGGUUUUUGUUUGAGAGAUGGUUUUGCUAUCACUUCUGGAUGGACCCGCGGCGUAUUAGCUAGUUGGUAAGGUAAAGGCUUACCAAGGCAAUGAUACGUAGCCGAACUGAGAGGUUGAUCGGCCACAUUGGGACUGAGACACGGCCCAAACGCCUACGGGAGGCAGCAGUAGGGAAUCUUCCACACUGGACGAAAGUCUGAUGGAGCAACGCCGCGUGAGUGAAGAAGGUUUUCGGAUCGUAAAACUCUGUUGUUAGAGAAGAACGUGUGUGAGAGUAACUGCUCAUGCAAUGACGGUAUCUAACCAGAAAGCCACGGCUAACUAUGUGCCAGCCGCCGCAGUAA